ACGGAAGGCAGCAGUGAGGAAUAUUGGUCAAUGGACGCAAGUCUGAACCAGCCAUGCCGCGUGCAGGAAUAAGGCCCUAUGGGUCGUAAACUGCUUUUGUGGUGGAGCAAUAAGUCGUACGUGUACGGCGAUGAGAGUACAUCACGAAUAAGCAUCGGCUAACUCCGUGCCAGCAGCCGCGGUAAUACGGAGGAUGCAAGCGUUAUCCGGAUUUAUUGGGUUUAAAGGGUGCGUAGGCUGUGGUCCAAGUCAGGGGUGAAAGCCCGGAGCUCAACUCCGGAACUGCCUUUGAUACUGGAUUGCUGGAAUACGGAUGCCGUGGGAGGAAUGAGUAGUGUAGCGGUGAAAUGCAUAGAUAUUACUCAGAACACCGAUUGCGAAGGCAUCUCACGAACCCGUCAUUGACGCUGAGGCACGAAAGCGUGGGGAUCAAACAGGAUUAGAUACCCUGGUA
rnacentral:rRNA from 1 species